AAAUUAAUUUCAACUAUCAAGUUGAUUGCAUCCCCAAAAUCCCAAUUGAUUCUUCCCCAAAUUGAUUCUACUUCUCAUAAUCGAUUAUUCUCCUCGAACAGAAAACACAACUGGCGGAUGAUUCAGCUCAGGAACCAUAAUCUGUUAAGUUGAAGAAACGCGAUUCCACCCUUCAUCUCGACAAAACGCUAUUCCUUCCGAUUCUAUUCUCGCAAGGUACUCACUUUUUCCUUUCUUUCCAAAUUACGAUGAGAAUGGUUUUUCUGAUUUCGAUUUUAUUUCCUUUCUUUGAGUUCAGAAUUUGGCUAUUCAUGAGUUUGUGGCUAAACAUGUAAUUCUGAGUUCAGAACCAACACUUUUAUUAUACUGUGUUUGUGGUACUUGAUUUUAUUAUACUAUGUUUGUUCUUUUAACUAUAGUUUGAUUAGGACUUUGGUUUUAAAAAGCCUUGUUGAUGUUUGUUUGUGAUGUUAUAUAAAUUGGCAUCAUUGGGCAUUUACCUUUGUAGUUUAGUAAGAGAUUUCAGCUUAUUAUCAGGCCUUUGUUUUAGUAACUUAAGAUGGUAAGAUUAUCAAGAGAGUUUCAACUUGUCUCAGUGUUGUUAAAUAACCGGUAUAUCGCCGCUAUACCGCUGUUACAUAUCGGGAUUUAGAGCACCCACAACGAAAGCCGAUAUGCUAUUGCGAUUCCGCUAC
rnacentral:lncRNA from 1 species